CAGCAGCCACGGUAAUACGUAGGGUGCGAGCGUUAAUCGGAAUUACUGGGCGUAAAGCGUGCGCAGGCGGUUUUGUAAGACAGAGGUGAAAUCCCCGGGCUCAACCUGGGAACUGCCUUUGUGACUGCAAGGCUAGAGUACGGCAGAGGGGGAUGGAAUUCCGCGUGUAGCAGUGAAAUGCGUAGAUAUGCGGAGGAACACCGAUGGCGAAGGCAAUCCCCUGGGCCUGUACUGACGCUCAUGCACGAAAGCGUGGGGAGCAAACAGGAUUAGAUACCCCAGUAGUCCCUGUCUCUUAUAC
rnacentral:rRNA from 1 species